GGCCCUCUAGCCCAACUGGCAGGAGGCGCGCGCCUUAGAAGCGCGACAGUGAGUGUUCGAAUCACUCGGGGGCCA
rnacentral:tRNA from 1 species